UUUUCGUCUGCGCGCAGUUCUGCCCCCAAAGCCUCGCGCGGCUCCAGCGGAGAACACCGUGCCCUUUUUUGAUGCCAAGUGUUCAUUGGCAGUUUGCAAUAGAGAUUCAAAGGCGUUUUUCUGGAGCAGAGAGCCAUUAUCAGACUAAGAUCAAGAAGAUGUAUGAUGUUUGGAUGAGUAAGCUCCCAUGGAUGAAAAAACACUCUAAGAAGUUUGAUCACUUGAACGAAGACCUAGAGCAUGUCAGACACUCAUAUAGAGGUUUGGUCAACAAACAAUACAAUGAUGCAUUGAAGCAUUUGAGGCUUGCUCUUCACUUUACACCACCAUUAUUGACUGCCUUGUUGCCCCUUGCGCGCCCCCACGGGUAUAGUUGAGGUGGUAAGUGGAUUGAGGUUUGCCACUUGAGGUCGAGGGGUCGAACCUUGGGGCUGGCGGGUGUAAAUCCUUGCACUCGGUAUAACUCACCCUCUCAUCCACUUGUUUUCUCAAUCACCGUGAUUUACCUCGUCUAUGUUGGUCCUAAGGUGGGCUAGUAGGGGCGCUGGGGCGAGCACUUUGCCCUUUUUGCCACUUGUUACCCCUUGUGCAAGUAUUUCAGCCAACACUGUGAUGAUUAGAAAGCAAAAUGAGUAGGUCAAUUUCCUUUCUUUGUAAUUCUAUCUAUGUUUCUUAAUCUGAUUCUAAAUAGCUGCAUAAUUAAUUUAUUUCAUUAUUAACAAUAAGGAACAAUGAUGGA